AACUGCUUCAGAAAAUGGCAAGGAUGGUGAGGAGUAUUCAGGGAAAGAGUAGUGAUGGCAUGUACCCUCAAAACACAUCAACAAACAGAGAUGUGACAAAGGAAGCGAAAUAACAGCCCAGGAGAAAGGGCAGAUGUCCCCAAGGCCUGUGGCUUCACCUGCUCUCAAGAGGAUCGGGUGAGUUGCAGUUCUUCUGCAGAGGAGCAAGCAGGUGGGCAAAGAGGUACAGGUGGAUGUCCCUAUCCCAGACAAAAGAGACAG